UACGGAGGGCGCAAGCGUUAUCCGGAUUUACUGGGUUUAAAGGGUGCGUAGGCGGGCCAUUAAGUCAGUGGUGAAAGCUCCGAGCUUAACUCGGAAACUGCCAUUGAUACUAUUGGUCUUGAAUUCGGUCGAGGUUGGCGGAAUGUGUCGUGUAGCGGUGAAAUGCUUAGAUAUGACACAGAACACCGAUUGCGAAGGCAGCUAGCUAGACCGACAUUGACGCUGAGGCACGAAAGCGUGGGGAUCAAACAGG
rnacentral:rRNA from 1 species